rnacentral:tRNA from 2 species
GCCCUCGUAGCUCAGGGGAUAGAGCGCCGGCCUCCGGAGCCGGGUGCGCAGGUUCGAAUCCUGCCGGGGGCGC